UGUUAUCAAUGACCCAGGCUCUUUCCAUUAUUCUACUUAGCCAUCCACAGUAUGUUGGCUUAUGACCUCCUGGUCAUAAGUUGGAUGACACAGAUCCAAACAUAAUAUCCUCAAAGAACUGAGUUUGAGGCAGGGCGAAGAGCCCUACCUUGGCCUUUGGGAAGCAACGUCAGCUUCGAUAAACAUCAAAAAUAUAAGGAGCACAGAAAUCAAGUGAGUGGGUGCCCUUCUUUCCCGUCCAUUACCAUUCCCAAAGAUGGCCCACCGAUGCCCAAGUUGUCUUUCUUCAUUGGCAAGUAAAUUGGGUUCAGUUUUCUAUCAGUUCAAACUAACUAAAAGUUGGUCAAACCUGCAGAGCAGUGAAAAGUAAGGAUCUCCCCUUUUCCGGGGAUUAUGUUUAAUGGUUCAUUACGUAAAAUAGACUUCCUGCCAUGUGGGAGGUACUGUGCUUGGACCAAAGAGAAGAAUGCAGUUGUCAGGCUGACUUAGGAGAAGGACAAGUAUUGGGCAACAUGCUGUUGGCGUGAGGCUAUGGAACUUCUUUCUGGGGUAUCUCAGCAGCCUUCGGGGAGCUGCCAGGGCAGAGACGUGUUGUGUGUCAUUAUCAAUUAACUGUUUAUGCCAAGUUGGUCGAUAUCAUGGCUAAACUGGAGCCCAGGUGUGUUGACACUUCAUGAUGCACUGCAGUCUGCGUAAAGCAAGAGGUGUGAGAGUCAGAUUGGAGUCUCUGGGACCUCUCGUCCUUCCCUCAGCUUCUACUUCCCUUUUAUUCUACAUCAUUAGUGAAAAUUCCAAAUGUCACCUAUCAGUGGGACUGUUCCCAUCUUUUUAAAAGCCUUUGAAGUCAGGUGUUAUGUCAGUAUUGCUCAUAGUUUGUUAGGAGCAUUCAUCUAGCAUAGUGUUUCGUAGAUAGAGAGGGUGAAAUAAAUCAUUAAAGAAGGAAUGCAUAAAUGACUGGAGGUGACAAGCAACACUAGGAUGGGAGAUGGUGAUUUGGCAGGAUUCAGACCUUCAGCUGACAGUGUGAAUCAUGCAAGUCCUGCUUCUUGCCAGCAAUGUCCCAAUGUCAGCAGAAGACAAACCCGAGCAGUGACAUGACUCCCAUGACCCAUUCCUUCUUGAAAUAUCAGCCAGGCCACUUCCUCCAAUCACAUGGGAUAGGCGCUGGGGUUGGGCUCCUCUCACAUUCUUAGGAAUGCAAGCUCUUGUCUUCCCAGGGACCCUCAAAUAUAUGCCACAUUGCUAAUGUCCUCCAGGGAACGGCUAUGGGAACAACCUCGGGCCUUGCAGGAAGGAAGAAGGUUCAGGGAAGGCCGUGACUCACAGUUAUUUUAAGCUCAAGUUCUCUCAGUUCAAGCAGAGGUCACACUUCUUUCUUGGAGGCAGAGGAGCCCCAAACCUGGUGUGGGCUUUAAUAGAAAGAACCGCCAUCUUGGGCUUUUAAGAAGGUGGCCUCUGCCCCUGUUUCCCAGCCCUGACUCCAGUGAUGUCCUUGAGCUAGUGUCUUCUCUUCAGUGAAUUUUGGUAUUUCAAUCUUUAAAAUUCAUCUACUUAAAAAUAUUAAUUAAGAACCUACUACAUGCCUGGAAUAGUACUGGGUGUUAAAGAUAAGGCUGUUAAAAGGAAAAAAAAAAUCUGCUCCUAGGAAAAGUUUAUUUUAGUGGGAGGAGACAAAUAAUAAGCAAAUAAAAAUAUAGUAUGGCAGGUGAUGGUAUAUGCAGAAACAAUAAAGCAGAGUUUGAAAAAGAAUGCUGUAUGGUGGCUCGUGCCUAUAAUCCCAGCACUUUGGGAGGCCAAGGCAGGAGGGUCACUUGAGGCCAGGAGUUCCAGACCAACCUUGACAACAUAGUAAGACCCUUUCUUUAUAAAAAUAAAAAAUAAAAUAGGUGGCGUUAGGGGUAAGGGAAAGACAUGCAAGGACUUUGGUGUUUUAUAUAGU
rnacentral:lncRNA from 1 species